GCUCCAAUAGCGUAUAUUAAAGUUGUUGCAGUUAAAAAGCUCGUAGUUGGAUUUCUGGUGCAUUCCACUGGCCUAUUGGUUAACUCCAACUUGCUCAUUUGGAAUACGCCAUCUUUAGGCAGACCGUCGUGGCAUUAGGUUGUCGUGAUGGUUACGCCUAUCGUUUACUGUGAAGAAAUUAGGGUGUUCAAAGCAGGCUU
rnacentral:rRNA from 1 species